AGGAAAAGAAACCAACAGGGAUUGCCCUAGUAACGGCGAGUGAAGCGGCAACAGCUCAAAUUUGAAAUCUGGCUCUUUCAGAGUCCGAGUUGUAAUUUGCAGAGGGCGCUUUGGCUUUGGCAGCGGUCCAAGUUCCUUGGAACAGGACGUCACAGAGGGUGAGAAUCCCGUACGUGGUCGCUAGCUAUUGCCGUGUAAAGCCCCUUCGACGAGUCGAGUUGUUUGGGAAUGCAGCUCUAAAUGGGAGGUAAAUUUCUUCUAAAGCUAAAUAUUGGCCAGAGACCGAUAGCGCACAAGUAGAGUGAUCGAAAGAUGAAAAGCACUUUGGAAAGAGAGUCAAACAGCACGUGAAAUUGUUGAAAGGGAAGCGCUUGCAGCCAGACUUGCUUGCAGUUGCUCAUCCGGGCUUUUGCCCGGUGCACUCUUCUGCAGGCAGGCCAGCAUCAGUUUGGGCGGUGGGAUAAAGGUCUCUGUCACGUACCAUCCUUCGGGAUGGCCAUAUAGGGGAGACGUCAUACCACCAGCCUGGACUGAGGUCCGCGCAUCUGCUAGGAUGCUGGCGUAAUGGCUGUAAGCGGCCCGUCUUGAAACACGGACCAAGGAGUCUAACAUCUAUGCGAGUGUUUGGGUGUCAAGCCCGAGCGCGUAAUGAAAGUGAACGGAGGUGGGAACCCGCAAGGGUGCACCAUCGACCGAUCCUGAAGUUUACGGAAGGAUUUGAGUAAGAGCAUGGCUGUUGGGACCCGAAAGAUGGUGAACUAUGCUUGAAUAGGGUGAAGCCAGAGGAAACUCUGGUGGAGGCUCGCAGCGGUUCUGACGUGCAAAUCGAUCGUCAAAUUUGGGCAUAGGGGCGAAAGACUAAUCGAACU
rnacentral:rRNA from 1 species